rnacentral:lncRNA from 1 species
CCGACUCAAAGCAUCACAGAACUCUAAUCUUUUUCUUCAGAAGUCUCCCCAUAUACAACAGAACAAAACCCCAAGUACUUAUUUUGGCAUUCAAGACCUUUUACAACUUGUCCUAAACUAUAUCCACUCUCCUCCACUCCAAAUUUCCACUACUUCAAGUCCUCUAUGCUCCAGUCACACUGAAUGGUAGCUCAAUAUUGCCCAAACAUGUGGGCAUAACCUUGCAUUGCAAUGUUCUUUCAUAACUAACUGCAUAUGCUAUUCUUCCCAGCUACGCUAUGAGCAUCACAAAGGAAGAGACAACAACUGAUUCAUCUUGUCCUUUCCAGAUCUAACCCUGGGACUGGUAUUAAGAAAUGAGAAGAGCUAAAUCAGAUAUCCCUGGACUUUCUAUGGACCUGCCUUCAAUGGAGGGAGUGAGGUAAGGAUGAAAUUCGAUCAUCAAGAAUUACUUUGAAUGCAACACAGCUGUGGCUAUGUGCUCCUCUUUAAAAGGAAAAUACUCAUGGAAAAAUAAUAUGGCACUUCACAAUUGUUCAUCAGUUUUUGUCAAGAUAUUCUCAGGAGGAUAUGGAUCUGAGAAGAUAUUGCUGUGGCGUAUGUCAUAGAGUGUUUGGCCUAUGUUUUCCUCUAAGAGUUUUAUGGUAUCUGGUCUUAUAUUUAGGUCUUUAAU